rnacentral:ncRNA from 1 species
UCUCGAAUCCGGUAGACGCUACGGACUUAAAUAAUUUGAGCGUUAGUAGAAAAACUUACUAAAUGCUAGCUUUCAGAUUCAGGGAAACUUAGGUUGAUAAAAAUAUAAGCAAUCCUGAGCCAAAUCUUAUUUCGUUUGAAAAUAAAAUAGGUGCAGAGACUCAAUGGAAGCUAUCCUAACGAAUAACAUUUUAAAAAUUAUUUAAAAUUUAUUUUUUAGAUAUUAAGCGAGGAUAAAGAUAGAGUCCAAUUUUACAUGUUAAUUUUAGCAACAAUUUAAAUUGUAGUAGAAAGAAAAUCCGUUGGCUUUAUUGACCGUGAGGGUUCAAGUCCCUCUACCCCCA